rnacentral:rRNA from 1 species
GCAGCGCGGGGCAACCUGGCGGCGAGUGGCGAACGGGUGAGUAAUAUAUCGGAACGUGCCCUGGAGUGGGGGAUAACGCAGCGAAAGUUGCGCUAAUACCGCAUACGAUCUAAGGAUGAAAGCGGGGGAUUCGCAAGAACCUCGUGCUCCUAGAGCGGCCGAUAUCUGAUUAGCUAGUUGGUGGGGUAAAGGCCUAUCAAGGCAUCGAUCAGUAGCUGGUCUGAGAGGACGACCAGCCACACUGGAACUGAGACACGGUCCAGACUCCUACGGGAGGCAGCAGUGGGGAAUUUUGGACAAUGGGCGAAAGCCUGAUCCAGCAAUGCCGCGUGAGUGAAGAAGGCCUUCGGGUUGUAAAGCUCUUUUGUCAGGGAAGAAACGGUGAAGGCUAAUAUCCUUUGCUAAUGACGGUACCUGAAGAAUAAGCACCGGCUAACUACGUGCCAGCAGCCGCGGUAAUACGUAGGGUGCAAGCGUUAAUCGGAAUUACUGGGCGUAAAGCGUGCGCAGGCGGUUUUGUAAGUCUGUCGUGAAAUCCCCGGGCUCAACCUGGGAAUUGCGAUGGAGACUGCAAGGCUAGAAUCUGGCAGAGGGGGGUAGAAUUCCACGUGUAGCAGUGAAAUGCGUAGAGAUGUGGAGGAACACCGAUGGCGAANGCAGCCCCCUGGGUCAAGAUUGACGCUCAUGCACGAAAGCGUGGGGAGCAAACAGGAUUAGAUACCCUGGUAGUCCACGCCCUAAACGAUGUCUACUAGUUGUCGGGUUUUAAUUAACUUGGUAACGCAGCUAACGCGUGAAGUANACCGCCUGGGGAGUACGGUCGCAAGAUUAAAACUCAAAGGAAUUGACGGGGACCCGCACAAGCGGUGGAUGAUGUGGAUUAAUUCGAUGCAACGCGAAAAACCUUACCUACCCUUGACAUGUACGGAAGCCACGAGANAUCGAGNCGUGCUCGAAANANAGCCG